UGUGUACUUAAGGGUAC
rnacentral:tRNA from 1 species